GACGAACGCUGGCGGCGUGCUUAACACAUGCAAGUCGAACGGGCCCGCCCCUGUUUUUGGGGGUGGGUUGAGUGGCGAACGGGUGAGUAUCACGUGAGUAACCUGCCCCCUGCUCCUGGAUAACUGCUUGAAAGGGCGGCUAAUACGGGGUGUGCCGGCUGGUCCGCAUGGGCCUGGUCGGGAUAGUUUCAUCUUCGGGUGUUUCGGUGGGGGAUGGGCUCGCGGCCUAUCAGCUUGUUGGUGGGGUGAUGGCCCACCAAGGCGGUGACGGGUAGCCGGCCUGAGAGGGUGGGCGGCCACACUGGGACUGAGACACGGCCCAGACGCCUGCGGGAGGCAGCAGUGGGGGGUAUUGCACAAUGGGCGGAAGCCUGAUGCAGCGACGUCGCGUGAGGGAUGGAGGCCUUCGGGCUGUGAACCUCUUUCUCCGGUGGUGAAGGCCCUGUCCGUUGCGGCGGGGUUGACGGUAGCCGGGUAUGAAGCGCCGGCUAACUACGUG
rnacentral:rRNA from 1 species